rnacentral:rRNA from 1 species
UGGGGAAUAUUGGGCAAUGGGCGAAAGCCUGACCCAGCAACGCCGCGUGAAGGAAGAAGGUCUUCGGAUUGUAAACUUCUUUUAUGAGGGACGAAGGACGUGACGGUACCUCAUGAAUAAGCCACGGCUAACUACGUGCCAGCAGCCGCGGUAAUACGUAGGUGGCAAGCGUUAUCCGGAUUUACUGGGUGUAAAGGGCGCGUAGGCGGGGAUGCAAGUCAGAUGUGAAAUCUAUGGGCUUAACUCAUAAACUGCAUUUGAAACUGUAUCUCUUGAGUGCUGGAGAGGUAGACGGAAUUCCUUGUGUAGCGGUGAAAUGCGUAGAUAUAAGGAAGAACACCAGUGGCGAAGGCGGUCUACUGGACAGUAAACUGACGCUGAGGCGCGAAAGACGUGGGGAGGCAAACAAGGAAGUUAGGAUAACC